CAGCCGCCACGGUAAUACGAAGGGUGCAAGCGUUAAUCGGAAUUACUGGGCGUAAAGCGUGCGUAGGCGGUGAGUUAAGUCUGCUGUGAAAUCCCCGGGCUCAACCUGGGAAUGGCAGUGGAUACUGGCUCGCUAGAGUGUGUCAGAGGAUGGUGGAAUUCCCGGUGUAGCGGUGAAAUGCGUAGAGAUCGGGGGGAACAUCAGUGGCGAAGGCGGCCAUCUGGGACAACACUGACGCUGAGGCACGAAAGCGUGGGGAGCAAGCAGGAUUAGAGACCCCUGUAGUCCCUGUCUCUUAUAC
rnacentral:rRNA from 1 species